ACACAUGCGAGUUUUUGCUGGCUUGAGAACAAGCAAGGAAAAAGACAAAUCCCACCUACCCUAGCCUAAAAUACACAGUGAGUCUCAGAACCCCGCGGAAGCUGUGGCUCAUUUCUAAAGGUGCUGGCAAUAUCGAGGAAGACUUGUAUCCACAAAAUUCCAAAUGGAAAAGAGAGAAAAGAGAACAACAAACAGAUGUGUGAAAAAAAGACACGAAGUACAAAACGGAUGUAUUAAUGGCAAAUAGAGUAAACUUGAAGCCUGAAAUUGCAGCACUCAUUUGGUGACCAGGAGUGGGCAAACAGAAGGACAAAGGCCUACAAGAUUAAAUAAUCAAGUCAUUAUUGUGAAUUUGGAUCUAAAUGACCUGGCAGAAACCAUGGAGAUGAUCUUGGAUUUAAAGAGGAAAAACUCAAAGCAAUGUAUUCUGAUCAAGAAAUGGCAGGAAAUGGCAGCUACCUGAUAUGGAACAAUCAACAACUGAAGGUUUAUUUUGAAUGAGAGGUGUUGUCCAACUGCGAGACGGAGUGAUUGAAGCUGAGAAUAAAUGGAAACACAAUCAAUAGUCACUCCAGUGAGGUAGGAAAGAAAGCCAUUCCGAAGUGGCAGAGAAGCUGCUUUUUCCUCCUGCAUGCUGCCUGCUAGUGUGGAUCUUGGCAUAACAGACACUACUUGGCAAAAGAUCCAUCCUUCCUUUUCCUAUACUUUGCUCAGCGGCCUGGAAGAUUGACCUCAAAAGCAAAAUCACCUGGAUUUCCUUGCCAUUUGGCUUUCAAAUGUGCUCAGCCAAUGACAGGCUGGAAAGAAAUUGACAGCUGGGAAAAGAGGAAGAUUUGUGUACAAGAUCCCUUCCACUCCCAUCUCAUUACCUGCCAUGGUCCUAGCAGUGGCUGUUCUUAUUAUGGCCACAACUACUCUUGGACAGGCCAACAUCCACAACUCCAUCCUUCAACUAGGCUUCAUUAACACUGUCCCUCACCCUUAUCUCUUUCUGGGUAGGGGUGAUAAAGGUUUCCUGACAUCAGAGUUCCUGAGUGCCUCAUAUAUUCUUGUUGGUCCCUGAACCUUGCCCCAACAUCAAUAAAAAGUUCCUUCAUUAAAUAA